GGACAAAAGCAAUAAGACUUGUCCGUUUACUGAGUCUUCACUUUGUGCCCACUCCAUCCACAGUGAUCAACCUACAUUAUCUCAUUUAAUCAAUCCCCUGAGGCAAGCGUAAGGAUGGGUGGGCUGGUACUGAAGACCGAGCUUUGACAAUACCACGCUGUCAGGACUCUGCCCGAGGCUAAAAGAUAUCUUUGGAAGCUGUGCCUAUAAAAAGAAAGCAAUGUGUCCCUAGGACUACGGAAAGACUUUUCCACCAGGAAGAGGGGACUAUACCUGUUGGAACAUUUGCAUGCCUGCACCUGCCGCCUCCCCGGCCCACUCAGAUUCCCACCGGCCAUCCUCACCAGCCUCCACUUCUGUGGGCCAGUCUACAUCCCAGCAGAGACGGGCAGACUGCGUGUGCGGGGGCGGACCUGUGGCUCGAGGGGGAGCGAGAGACCUAAAUGAGCAGAUGGAGCAGCUGAAGAUUAAAAGCGCAAAUGGGAAGUUGGGAUAGACAUGUGACAGGACAGCGAUGCUCCGGCUGAGCUGAACUGGCACAUCUGGCAGGCAGCCAGGCUCACUCGGAGCAGCUCCUCUCAACCCACCAGCGACCGGAGCUCGGUCUGGAAAGGCGCAGACCUGAGGCCGGGGUGGCCGGGAACAGAUGGCCAGUCCCUGCCAUUGCUGCUCUGCUGGCGCCCGAGGGCCCCUCUCUGGAAAAACCCGA